CCGUGUUUUCUUAAUUGGUUAUUGAAAUUAUCAAAAUAAUUAGUAUUUUAAAUUUUAAAACAAUCAACAAAGGAAUAAAAAUUGACCUAAAUCUUCAACUAGUUUCUUUAUGCCCAACCUUAAACAAAAAGCCCAAAAACUUCACUAAAUCUUCUGUGCAUGUUUGAAAUUACUUUGAAUUUCCUAAUUAUAGUUUUUCGUUAAAUUGUUAUUAAUUAUUUUGAACUGAUAAAUGAUGAUCGCACCGUAGCAUUACGCAAAAUGUGGAUAUUUUUACUCCAAAAUUUGAAUUUUUUUUAAGUGAACUAAGUGGCGGGUAUAAACCAUCAACCGACCCAUUCCGG
rnacentral:lncRNA from 1 species